GAUGAAGAACGCAGCGAAAUGCGAUAAGUAAUGUGAAUUGCAGAAUUCAGUGAAUCAUCGAAUCUUUGAACGCACAUUGCGCCCGCCAGUAUUCUGGCGGGCAUGCCUGUCCGAGCGUCAUUUCAACCCUCGAACCCCUCCGGGGGGUAGGCGUUGGGGAUCGGCCCUUUCACCGGGUGCCGGCCCCUAAAUACAGUGGCGGUCUCGCCGCAGCCUCUCAUGCGCAGUAGUUUGCACACUCGCACCGGGAGCGCGGCGCGUCCACGUCCGUAAAACACCCCAACUUCUGAAAUGUUGACCUCGGAUCAGGUAGGAAUACCCGCUGAACUUAAGCAUAUCAAUAAGCGGAGGA
rnacentral:misc_RNA from 1 species